UUUUGGAUACAAAGAGCGGAUGUGCCUGUAGGACGACUGGACGAGAGAUUCCUUCCCCAAAUAGAUGGCGAGCGGGCUACUGUCGCCUCUCCUGUCUUCGGCGAGGAAGCUGCUCGACCUUCUCUGGAGCUCGGCGGCAGCUUCCGGCGAUCCUCAAGGCGAGCACUCUACCUUUCCUGCAGAUUUGCAGCGGCUGGAGCGGCUGCUGCGGAGGAUCCAGGCCACGCUCGACGACGUCGGGGAGCGAGAGGUCCAGGAGAGCUACGUCAAGCUGUGGAUUGCGGAGCUCACGGUCCUGGCGCGCGACGCGGAGGACGUCCUCGAUGACUACCGCUAUGAGAUGCUGCGGCGCCGCGUCCAGGAACUCCAAGGCUCCGCCGCCGCCGCCGCCUCCUCUGCCUCACGCAAGCGGAAUCACGACGAGGACGGCAGCAUCAGUGAGAGAAUAAGGAAGAUUACGCGCCGGUUCCAGAUAUCUACAGAUCGAGCCGCUUUGCCGCUCAGGCCAGAGGAGGACGACGAUGGUGGCACUAGUGAGAGAAUUGGGGAUAUCAUACGCCGCUUCGAGGAGAUCUCCCGAGAUCGUGCUGCUCUGCAGCUUGGACCAGAUGUUGGUAGAAGGAUCGCAUGGAGGGACUCUCAGUGGGAAUCAAGAUCAAGUAGCCAUCUUUUUGAUGAAUCCCUUGUUUUCGGUAGGGCUGACGAGAAAGAGCGUGUCAUAGAGUUAGUGUUGUCCUGCAGUCAGGGAAGCAAAACUCAUGUUUUGCCUGUUGUUGGAAUGGGGGGCAUUGGCAAGACCACUAUGGCGCAGAUGGUUUAUAACGAUGGUCGAGUUCAAGAACGAUUUGAUCUUAGGGGUUGGGUUCAUGUAUCUGAAACAUUUGAUUUACGCAGGCUGACAAUUGCCAUCUAUGAGUCCUUGACCAGGGGACCAUGUGAAUACAGUGAACUAAGCUCUGUCCAUGAUGUUUUGAAGCAAAAGUUAUGUGGGAAGAGCGUCUUCAUGGUGCUGGAUGAUCUAUGGAAUGAACGGCAAAGUUUCUGGCAAGAUUUGCUGUGUCCACUCAAGGAUGCAGAAAGUGUGAUGAUCCUGGUGACUACCAGGAGUAAAGAGGUAGCACGCCUUGUGCAAACAGUCGAACCCCUUGUGCUUGGGUCAUUAUCUGAAGAGCAUUGCUGGUUGUUGUUUCAACACUACGCUUUUGGUGACAGAAUCAUUGAUGAAGAAUCCAGUUUAGUUCAGGUUGGUAGGAAAAUUAUGCAGAAGUGUGGUGGCUUACCGUUGGCAGUUAAAUCAAUAGGUUGCUUGUUACGUUCCAAGAGAAAUAUGCAGACUUGGCUGGAAAUAUCAGAAAGUGAGUUUUGGGAAUAUUCAGAUGAUAAUGAUGAGAUCUUCUGUGCUCUAAGAUUGAGCUUUUAUCGACUGCCCGCAAGGCUCAAACCCUGUUUCUUGCUGUGCGUUCUAUAUCCCAAAGGUGAGCCUUUUACCAAGGACGACAUGAUACACUUGUGGAUUGCUCAUGGUUAUAUCCAGACAACAGGUUGCAAAACACCAGAGAGAAUAGCUGGUGAGUACUUUGAUGAGUUGAAUGAAAGAUCACUGAUUGAACCAUAUUUAGUCCAUUUGGACAUUCGUGAGCGUCCUAGUUUCUGGAAAAAUUCUCCAGGAAUACGUGGGUCUCAAUCAAUUCGCAAUGCCAAUAAUGGGAUAUCGUUGCUUGAGACUGAUGCCUCUUAUUCAGACAUAAUAUCGUUGCUUGAGACUUCUCUAGGAACGACCAAGGCUUCCUUAGCAUUUCGAAAUUUUAGGUUGCAUGACAUGACUUGGGAACUUGCAAAAUCUCUGUCUACCAGCCUGCUUUCUGCAGUAGUUGUUGAUGGAGGUAGCCUUUACCUGGGACAAAAUAUGGAGCGGUUACCUUUUUUAGUAGGCGGUGGCAGACAAAACACUCAUCGGUACAACACUUACAAUCAGAUUAAUGGUUCUCCUGGGAUCGGAAUGAAUCCGUCAGGUCAAAAGAAUUGGUUGAUUGAUUCUAUGGAUGAUCAUGUGAAUUUAAUGAGUGUGGCAUGUUCGACAGGAAACAAACAUGUCAACAUUCUUACCAUUGAAAAUCGAGUAUCCCAGCUGCACGAUAUGAAUUAUUUACGUACCUUAAUGUUAAAACAGUGCACAUUUUUCCAUAUUGGCAUACAUGAGUACAGAUACCUGAGGAUUCUUGUACUAGAUUCAUGUAAUAGUGGCUGCAUAUCUGCUACACAAUAUCUGAAGCUCUUGCGGUACCUCCACGUAAGUAAUUGUGAUUCAAUGUUUGGCAAAAAUCUGAAGCACUUGACAGAGUCAAUUUGUCAUCUUUACAGCCUUGAGAAGUUGAUCGUAACGACUUGUUGGAAAGAGUUCUCCAUGACAUCGUGCCAUCUUUUUAGUUUAAGAUAUCUCCAACUCUCCGUCCGAUUCAGUGACUGGUCCCUGCAUCCAUUUUGCCAGUUUUAUAACUUGGACACACUAUGUUUGAAGAAAUGCGACAGCAUUGCCGAUCUCCCUAUAUGCAUAGGAAACCUCAUGAGCCUGAAACGUCUUCAGCUUAUUCAAAUUUCAAAUAUCAAGAAGUUGGAUCAUUAUUCUUUCCGAUGUCAGAGUAAUAGCUACAAAAGUGAUCUAACAAAGGCAAUAUUUCCUGCCCUGGAGGAGUUAGAAUUUGAUAGUUUGUGUGAUCUACAGGAUUGGUGUGGAUUGCAAGAUUCAGAUUGCCCAAAGAUACAGAACAUCACUUUAAGAAACUGCUACAAACUUAGAAGAAUCCCUUACUUUGGUUCUGUCAGAAAUCUAAUAAUAAGGAAGUUAGCCCUCGCUGAUCUCCAGCUUUCAGCCUACAAUGAACUAUCUCAGCUGCAGACUCUUGAUAUCAGAUAUUGUAAGAACCUGAAAUCUUUGAUGGGGUUGAAAAAUCUUUGUUCUCUUGGGAGCCUAUAUAUAGCCCAUUGUCCUCAACUCAUUGUCUUGUGUAAAGACAAGCUUCCGUUUAGGCCUCAGCAUGUAUUCGUUGAUGAUUGCCCUGGACUGAAGGAGUGGUGUGAUGAACAAGAGCUCUACUAUCAGGUCCCCAAAAUGGUGAAGAUUUCAGAUAUAAAAUGGGCAAAGGAAUAUGGCGUUGCUUAUUUCCAAUCCUGUGAACAUAUCUGUCUCGACAUUUUACCUGAGCACAAACCAGAAUUGAUUCUGUCACCAGAUAAUUUGUUGCCGUCUGAACUGCGGCUCUUAAAGAUCGGUUUAUUUGAAAGCUCCGAUGAUGUUCCAUCGUUCCAUCGAGCUCUUUCUACACUUGGCAAGCUGGAGAUCAGGGGAUGCCCAAAGCUUGUAGCGCUGAUGGAUUUGCAAGAACUGAAUGUCCUCCACAGCUUGGUUAUAGCGGACUGCCCUUUACUUCAAAUACUUGCUGAAACGAAGUUUCCACCACUGUUAGCAUCCUUAAUAAUUGAAGGGUGCCACAAGCUUCCAUCUUUGUACUUGAACUCUAUUUCUAAUCCUUCAAUGUUCACCGAACUUGAGGUAUCUGAUUGCCAAGGACUCAUGUACGUUGGAGGCCUGGGGUGUUUGGGCAAUCUAGAAAGUCUGGCACUACUUCAUUGCCCUCUUCUGGAGCUCCGGGAAUUGUUGCUAGUCAUUCCUGAAUCUGUUGCUGUUUUCCUCUGUCCGAAAUUGAAGAAAUGGUGUGAACUCCAAAGUAUUGAAUAUCUGGAAAGUCUGCCUGAUCCGUCACGUGAAGUGAAUGUUUGAUCACUCUGGGAUACCAUGAUGAGGCUGGCGAAAUCAUCCGGGAGACGUACUUGUUUAACAGGGAUGACAAACCCAUGAGGCAUCAUUUCAAAAGGUGUGCAUCAGCUGUGAGUGUGCUCUACGCAGGAACUUCCUGUCAAAGAUAAGAUAAGAUGACCAGAUGCUCAAUUUCAGAGGGAAGAAGUGCGUCUCGAUAAAGACAAGUGGAUAAUUGAUGGCAGUCCUCAUGUUUCUCUGCCUAUACGUUUUCCGACGUCCGUACUUCUUGGUUUGAUCAAUGGAAUGUUGCUCAAUCAUGAGCUGAAUCAUUAUAGCACGUUUUGGGUGCAAAAUCCUUAAAUCCAUGAUGAUAACCCCUCCCGGUCUUCUGGUUGAUAGGACGAAUGGGUCUGGUUGCUUCAUCUGCUUCCAGUAAUUCAUCAGUUGCCGGCGUCUCUCCUGCAGUCCUGCCUGAUGUCUUGAAUGGCUGAACCUUGGAUCUCUGAAAAUUUUAGUUGCCCUGCAUGCUCU